rnacentral:rRNA from 1 species
AUUGAACGCUGGCGGCAGGCCUAACACAUGCAAGUCGAACGAGUGGCGGACGGGUGAGUAAUGUCUGGGAAACUGCCCGAUGGAGGGGGAUAACUACUGGAAACGGUAGCUAAUACCGCAUACCAUCGGAUGUGCCCAGAGGGGAUUAGCUAGUAGGUGGGGUAACGGCUCACCUAGGCGACGAUCUCUAGCUGGUCUGAGAGGAUGACCAGCCACACUGGGACUGAGACACGGCCCAGACUCCUACGGGAGGCAGCAGUGGGGAAUAUUGCACAAUGGGCGCAAGCCUGAUGCAGCCAUGCCGCGUGUAUGAAGAAGGCCUUCGGGUUGUAAAGUACUUUCAGCGGGGAGGCGUUACUCGCAGAAGAAGCACCGGCUAACUCCGUGCCAGCCGCCGCGGUAAUAC